rnacentral:rRNA from 1 species
CAUGCAAGUCGAACGGCAGCACAGGAGAGCUUGCUCUCUGGGUGGCGAGUGGCGGACGGGUGAGGAAUGCAUCGGAAUCUACUCUUUCGUGGGGGAUAACGUAGGGAAACUUACGCUAAUACCGCAUACGACCUACGGGUGAAAGCCGGGGACCUUCGGGCCUGGCGCGAAUGAAUGAGCCGAUGCCCGAUUAGCUAGUUGGCGGGGUAAGAGCCCACCAAGGCGACGAUCGGUAGCUGGUCUGAGAGGAUGAUCAGCCACACUGGAACUGAGACACGGUCCAGACUCCUACGGGAGGCAGCAGUGGGGAAUAUUGGACAAUGGGCGCAAGCCUGAUCCAGCCAUACCGCGUGGGUGAAGAAGGCCUUCGGGUUGUAAAGCCCUUUUGUUGGGAAAGAAAAGCAGCUGGUUAAUACCCGGUUGUUCUGACGGUACCCAAAGAAUAAGCACCGGCUAACUUCGUGCCAGCAGCCGCGGUAAUACGAAGGGUGCAAGCGUUACUCGGAAUUACUGGGCGUAAAGCGUGCGUAGGUGGUUGUUUAAGUCUGUCGUGAAAGCCCUGGGCUCAACCUGGGAAUUGCGAUGGAAACUGGGCGACUAGAGUGUGGCAGAGGAUAGUGGAAUUCCUGGUGUA